UGAACGCUAGCUACAGGCUUAACACAUGCAAGUCGAGGGGCAGCAUGGUCUUAGCUUGCUAAGGCCGAUGGCGACCGGCGCACGGGUGAGUAACACGUAUCCAACCUGCCGUCUACUCUUGGACAGCCUUCUGAAAGGAAGAUUAAUACAAGAUGGCAUCAUGAGUCCGCAUGUUCACAUGAUUAAAGGUAUUCCGGUAGACGAUGGGGAUGCGUUCCAUUAGAUAGUAGGCGGGGUAACGGCCCACCUAGUCUUCGAUGGAUAGGGGUUCUGAGAGGAAGGUCCCCCACAUUGGAACUGAGACACGGUCCAAACUCCUACGGGAGGCAGCAGUGAGGAAUAUUGGUCAAUGGGCGAGAGCCUGAACCAGCCAAGUAGCGUGAAGGAUGACUGCCCUAUGGGUUGUAAACUUCUUUUAUAAAGGAAUAAAGUCGGGUAUGGAUACCCGUUUGCAUGUACUUUAUGAAUAAGGAUCGGCUAACUCCGUGCCAGCAGCCGCGGUAAUACGGAGGAUCCGAGCGUUAUCCGGAUUUAUUGGGUUUAAAGGGAGCGUAGAUGGAUGUUUAAGUCAGUUGUGAAAGUUUGCGGCUCAACCGUAAAAUUGCAGUUGAUACUGGAUAUCUUGAGUGCAGUUGAGGCAGGCGGAAUUCGUGGUGUAGCGGUGAAAUGCUUAGAUAUCACGAAGAACUCCGAUUGCGAAGGCAGCCUGCUAAGCUGCAACUGACAUUGAGGCUCGAAAGUGUGGGUAUCAAACAGGAUUAGAUACCCUGGUAGUCCACACGGUAAACGAUGAAUACUCGCUGUUUGCGAUAUACUGCAAGCGGCCAAGCGAAAGCGUUAAGUAUUCCACCUGGGGAGUACGCCGGCAACGGUGAAACUCAAAGGAAUUGACGGGGGCCCGCACAAGCGGAGGAACAUGUGGUUUAAUUCGAUGAUACGCGAGGAACCUUACCCGGGCUUAAAUUGCAGAUGAAUUACGGUGAAAGCCGUAAGCCGCAAGGCAUCUGUGAAGGUGCUGCAUGGUUGUCGUCAGCUCGUGCCGUGAGGUGUCGGCUUAAGUGCCAUAACGAGCGCAACCCUUGUUGUCAGUUACUAACAGGUUCCGCUGAGGACUCUGACAAGACUGCCAUCGUAAGAUGUGAGGAAGGUGGGGAUGACGUCAAAUCAGCACGGCCCUUACGUCCGGGGCUACACACGUGUUACAAUGGGGGGUACAGAGGGCCGCUACCACGCGAGUGGAUGCCAAUCCCCAAAACCUCUCUCAGUUCGGACUGGAGUCUGCAACCCGACUCCACGAAGCUGGAUUCGCUAGUAAUCGCGCAUCAGCCACGGCGCGGUGAAUACGUUCCCGGGCCUUGUACACACCGCCCGUCAAGCCAUGGGAGCCGGGGGUACCUGAAGUGCGUAACCGCGAGGAGCGCCCUAGGGUAAAACUGGUGACUGGGGCU
rnacentral:rRNA from 1 species